AUUGAACGCUGGCGGCAUGCCUUACACAUGCAAGUCGAACGGUAACAGGUCGUCGGAUGCUGACGAGUGGGGAACGGGUGAGUAAGACAUCGGAACGUGCCCGAUCGUGGGGGAUAACGAGGCGAAAGCUUUGCGAAGAUCGCAUAGGAUCGACGGAUGAGAGCGGGGGAGCGGCGGAGAUCGCGCGGACGGAGGGGGCGAUGGCAGAUGAGGGAGAUGGUGGGAUAAAAGCUUACCAAGCCGACGAUCUGUAGCUGUGCUGAGAGGAUGAGGCGCCACACUGGGGCUGAGAGGCCGCCCUGACACCUACGGGAGGCCGCAGUGGGUACUUGUGGACGCAGGGCGAAAGCCUGCUCCAGCCGCGCCGCGCUCAGGAUGCAGCCCCUUGGGUUGUAAACUGGUUUUGUACGGAACGAACGGCCUCUUUCUAAUAGAGAGGUGUCAGGACGGUACCGUAAGAAUAAGCACCGGCUAACUCCGU
rnacentral:rRNA from 1 species